rnacentral:tRNA from 1 species
ACUAUUUUGGCAGAUAAGUGCGGUGGAUUUAGAAUCUAUAUAUGUGUUUUUAGGCGCAGAUAGUA